rnacentral:rRNA from 1 species
CGGAUGGGCAUGCGGAGCAUUAGCUAGUAGGCGGGGUAACGGCCCACCAAGGCGACGAUGAGUAGGGGUUCUGAGAGGAAGGUCCCCCACACUGGUACUGAGACACGGACCAGACUCCUACGGGAGGCAGCAGUGAGGAAUAUUGGUCAAUGGGCGGGAGCCUGAACCAGCCAAGUCGCGUGAGGGAAGACGGUCCUAUGGAUUGUAAACCUCUUUUGUCGGGGAGCAAAGAGGCCUCGUGAGGUCAAAAGCGAGAGUACCCGAAGAAAAAGCAUCGGCUAACUCCGUGCCAGCAGCCGCGGUAAUACGGAGGAUGCGAGCGUUAUCCGGAUUUAUUGGGUUUAAAGGGUGCGUAGGCGGGACGGUAAGUCAGCGGUAAAAAUGCGGAGCUCAACUCCGUCGAGCCGUUGAAACUGCCGUUCUUGAGUGAGCGAGAAGUAUGCGGAAUGCGUGGUGUAGCGGUGAAAUGCAUAGAUAUCACGCAGAACUCCGAUUGCGAAGGCAGCAUACCGGCGCUCAACUGACGCUGAAGCACGAAGGCGUGGGUAUCGAACAGGAUUAGAUACCCUGGUAGUCCACGCAGUAAACGAUGAAUGCUAAUUGUCCGUUGCGAAUGAGCGAUGGGUGAUACAGCGAAAGCGUUAAGCAUUCCACCUGGGGAGUACGCCGGCAACGGUGAAACUCAAAGGAAUUGACGGGGGCCCGCACAAGCGGAGGAACAUGUGGUUUAAUUCGAUGAUACGCGAGGAACCUUACCCGGGCUCAGACGCCGUCUGACGUGCCUUGAAAGAGGUAUUUCUUCGGACAGGCGGCGAGGUGCUGCAUGGUUGUCGUCAGCUCGUGCCGUGAGGUGUCGGCUUAAGUGCCAUAACGAGCGCAACCCCUGUCGACAGUUGCUAACAGGUAAAGCUGAGGACUCUGUCGAGACUGCCGGCGCAAGCUGUGAGGAAGGCGGGGAUGACGUCAAAUCAGCACGGCCCUUACGUCCGGGGCGACACACGUGUUACAAUGGCAGGUACAGCGGGAAGCCACCCGGCGACGGGGCGCGGAACCCGAAAACCUGUCUCAGUUCGGAUUGGAGUCUGCAACCCGACUCCAUGAAGCUGGAUUCGCUAGUAAUCGCGCAUCAGCCACGGCGCGGUGAAUACGUUCCCGGGCCUUGCACACACCGCCCGUCAAG